rnacentral:misc_RNA from 1 species
UAAAUAUAUAAAUAACAAAGAGGUUAAAUCCUUUUUGCAUCAUUUAGGGAAGGAGAAUGGUCUAACCCCCAUCAGGUCCCUAUCAUCCGCUCCCGGUGUUCACAUUCUUAACGUGCACCCAUUUCCCUCUAACAAUCCCUUUAUCGGAUUCGAAGACCACAAACACGCCUAGCGUACUUUAGCAAAAGGCAGAUAGUUACAAACACCGAAUUCGGGUCGAGUUAAAGAAAACUUAAGCUAUCAAGGGAACGAGCGGCUCCGUUUCACUCGCUCGGAUUGUUUCCUCGCGGAGAUCCGCCACAAACGAUAGAGCAUUCGACACCGCAUAUCGCACCGAAGCAUGAAAAUACCACAUCGCUAUCGCUGUCGCUGUCACUCGUAUUAUGCUUCAUUAAGCCUCUGCUACCACUGCGCAAAGUGGAUAAACCACUACGAUCGUAUGUAACUGGGAGAUCCGUUCGCCAUCUUUCCAAUUUCGAUUGGAGGCCUUCCAUGCUGCUUUCCAAGCCCCAAGAAGUCAUUAUAUCGCCCUCCGUCUCUUCUACCACGUAGUGAUUUUUUUUCCUUGUUAUCAUUGCUGCUGCCACCUCUGAUGCUGAUGGGCCCAGAUCUGAUUCGGUUAUAAACGGCGCCCCACCGUUUAAAUUCAUGUUUUUUGGAGUGCCAAAAUGCAAUUUCCCAAGGUCGAACUUCUUAAAUGUCGAGGAAGAAUUAUCGUCAAUUAAACUGGAAUGGAUUUUGUUUUUCACCUUAGUGAUAUUGCCGCCGGAGACGUUGGACCUGUAUUUAGCCUUUGUCAAUGUGCCAUAGACCGACCCACUAGAAGUUGAAUGGGGCUUGCCCUUGUUAUAAUUCUUGAAAAUCUCGGAAUCAGUGAUGACGGAGCUAGGAUUUGAAUUCUGUUUCUCAUAAGCUGAGCCAUUCACCAUUGAACCGGCCUUCUUUUUAUUUAACGUUUUCUUAGCAACCGCAUCAGAGCCGAUCAUUGAACAGGUGUCGCUCUUUGUACGUCUCAAUUCAGGCUUGGGAUUCCAUGGAAGUAAGAAUUGGUUCCGACUAUCGCUGUUUUUCUCAUCGUCUUGGGUCCUAUGAUUGUCAUUAUGCAUCUGAGGAUCCUUCUCCCCCAUCAAAUGGCGGUAACCAAUAGCAGAAGCAUUCUGGGUAUACAAUGGCAUGCUUCGCAUGGAGGUGUCAAGAAGGGCCACCCCAAUGUUGAGAAUACCCUGAGGACAUCCAGAGCGACGACGUACCUGAAGGGCAACAAAGCGCAUGCCGAGCUGAACGUGGUGCUGCCGGUGCUGACGGUGGAGUUGGGGAGGGGGAAUGAGGUUUCCAACAAUGACGCGGAUGGUGCCAACGUGAAUGUCGCGGAACCAAUGGAGGGCGUAGAUCUCAAUCAUAAUGGCGGAGGUCUGACCAUAGAGAAACUCGUCGUCAACGCGAAAGACAAACUUGUCGUUCCAUGUAGGAUUGUUGUGGCCUUGAAUAUCAACUCUGGUGGAAAGUUUGCGGUCAGGGUGAACCCAGGCAACCACGUAGGUUUUCAUCUUGCGUGAGACCUUGGCGAGGUCUUGGGCAGAUAUCACAUUUAGCUCCAACAAUUGAAAUGGCGGAGCAAAUCCACGGGACAUUUUAUUUCUUUUCAAUUUCUUUUACAACACAGGUUGAUAUUGCUGCUUCUGGUGGUGGAGGAAGAGGUCAUCAUGGGUUCCACUCACCGUCCAAGGAGAGGACGACGAGGGAAGAAAAAUCCUUAAUAUUAGGUUUUGUUUGUAUAGUGUGUGUGUGUGUGUGUGUUUGUAAGUUGCUGGUCUUGACUUUAUGUGAUGGAGAAUGUACCUGUUUUUCCAAACUCUUUUUCUCUUAGGUUGAAGGAACUCCAGAGAGGCCAAGGUUGUGCGUAUUCCGAUCCAACAAGCAUCUUUAUGUCCAGGUGAUUGAUGACUCAAAGAUGCACACGCUGGCUUCAGCUUCAACAAUGCAGAAACCUGUCUUUGAGGAGUUUGACUUUAGUUCUGGUCCUACCAUUGUAAGUUUGUAAAUAUAAGUUAACAAUCACCUUAGAAAAUUUUGUUGCUAGCUGAGACUACCUAAUCCAUGAUUGCAACAAUAUAGUUAAUGAUUAUGUUAACCAAAUAAUAGAGAGUUUAAGCAUAGCCACUCAGGAUCCAUGGUUGAGCUCAGAUUGAGCUCAAUUGAAGCUUGAGAUGGUUGGCUCAAGCUUUGUGUAUUACACAAUUUAGGGUGCUCAAACUUGGUCAAAUGGGCUAGAAUGGUUAGAAAUGCUUAUCAUUUUGGCACAUUUCACCAUAUUUUAUUGGUGUUGCUCACCGAAUCUAUGGUUUUUCCUCUUUCCCUGAAUAAAUUUCAUGUCAUUCAGUAUGAUGUUUGAAAAUAUUGUGCUCUUAUUGCAAACAUUAUUCACCAGGAAGUAGCUAAGAAGGUGGGUGAAGUCAUAGCAAAGUCCUGUUUAGAGAAAGGGAUAACUAAAGUGGCCUUUGAUCGGGGUGGAUACCUAUAUCAUGGUCGUAUACAAGCUCUUGCUGAUGCAGCUCGGGAGCAUGGUCUUCAAUUUUAAGAUUUAAUUGGUUAGUUACUUUUGAGCUCACAUUUCCUUUUGAGCUAACUUUGUGCCGGAAGGCAUUAAUGCGUGGCUGAGACUAUUUGUAGCUGUGUGAAAAUCACAAAAUGGAAAGGCUUUUUGUUCUCUCUGUGAAUUCCUUCUGUUUGAAUUUGAUAAAUAUUCAAAAUGGACUUUUUAAAUUUGCACCACAAAUCUUCUAUCUCCCAAGGUUGAGGUUGGAAUGCAUAAGCCUUAGUUGCUUUGCAUGACAGCUUAGUAUGUAUGGAACUUGAUUUCAUUGGAAGAAAAGGUUGUUGGUGGGUAGGGUGGGGUAAGUGAUAAAAAUUAGCACAAUCAAACAUAAGAUUGGCAUGGAAGCAAAUCAUUCUAUGAAAUGAUCUUGAAAGGAGAAGAAAGAGAGAGGGUUGAUCCAUAUUUCAUCAAAAUAAUUGAAUUACUGUAUUAGAUAGGGGAAAAGUAUGCCUUGUAGUUUCCCCUUCAACUAAGAACACAUAGAGUUGAGUUGGAAUUCA